GUGAAAUUGUUGAAAGGGAAGCGCUUGCAACCAGACCUGCCUGCAGUUGCUCAUCCGGGCUUUUGCCCGGUGCACUCUUCUGCUGUCAGGCCAGCGUCGGUUCGGGCGGUCGGAUAAAGGCUUCGGGAAUGUAGCUCCUCUCGAGGAGUGUUAUAGCCCGUUGCGAAAUGCGGCCAGCCUGAACUGAGGUCCGCGCUUCGGCUAGGAUGCUGGCGUAAUGGUUGUAAGCGGCCCGUCUUGAAACACGGACCAAGGAGUCUAACAUCUGUGCGAGUGUUUGGGUGUCAAACCCGUACGCGUAAUGAAAGUGAACGGAGGCGGGAACCCCUCGGGGUGCACCGUCGACCGAUCCUGAUGUCUUCGGAUGGAUUUGAGUAAGAGCAUAGCUGUUGGGACCCGAAAGAUGGUGAACUAUGCCUGAAUAGGGUGAAGCCAGAGGAAACUCUGGUGGAGGCUCGCAGCGGUUCUGACGUGCAAAUCGAUCGUCAAAUUUGGGCAUAGGGGCGAAAGACUAAUCGAACUAUCUAGUAGCUGGUUCCUGCCGAAGUUUCCCUCAGGAUAGCAGUAACGUUUUCAGUUUUAUGAGGUAAAGCGAAUGAUUAGAGGCCUGGGGGUUGAAACAACCUUCACCUAUUCUCAAACUUUAAAUAUGUAAGAAGUCCUUGUUGCUUAUUU
rnacentral:rRNA from 1 species